CGUCGCCUUGCCCCGCCGCUGCCCACAGAGCUGGAUCGAAGCCACCUCAGUCGUGCGAAACCCGACCCGGCCAGAAAACCUCGACGCCGGCGAUACACGGGCCGAUCCUUCCCAUUUUCGUGAUCUUCUCCUCCCCCUGAUCAUCCCCAUGUAAGUCUUUCAUCACGAUUUUGUGUGUAGAACGCUAGAUCAAGGUUUGACUUUUUCGACGUCCCUGAUUUGAUCUAGGAUCUGAUCGUGCGGCCCAGAUUAAUCCAAACUUCAAAGCUUGAUCUAGGACGAUCUAGGCCGAACCAGACUUAGCUC
rnacentral:lncRNA from 1 species